rnacentral:pre_miRNA from 1 species
AUACAUAUAUGUACACACACAUGUGUGUGUAUAUACAUAUAUGUACACACAUAUGUGUGUAUACAUAUAUGUACA